UCCAACUUUUCCCCCAGCGGCUCCUGCUGCAUUUCUGAGGCCCUUUCCCCAGAGACCUGGCAGGCCGAGCAGGGAAACAUUCGCUGGCAGGAACCGGGGGAGCCCGGCCCGCGAGGCCUCGCGCCUGCCCGGGGCCGGCGGCGGUGGGUGUGCCCGGGCGGCGGCGUGGCCCUGCGUCCACUGCUGUGUGUGCCCUUGUCUCACACGCCGUGUGUGUCCGCGCCCUUUUGUGGCGUGGCAGCUUAUGUGCGUGCAGACAGACGCCCUGUAUGUGUGCCUCCCUCCACGACAGCCUCCGUGCGCGCGCGCCUGCGUGUGUGGCAGGACAUGGCCUGUGCCUUUCAGCUCUGUGCGAGGCUAUUUCUGGAUGCUGGCUGCAUCCAGAUGUUGGCUGCCAGGGAUCUGGGGGGCAGCCUUGUGGCUUCUGGUCGACUUGGGAUCUGCUCAUGUCGGGCUGUGUGGCCCUGGGAAUGCCAUUUCCUCCCUGGAGCUCUGUCCUCAUCUGUGACAUGAGGGUGCUGCUGCCUUCCCUCCAACCUCUGCCUCUGGAAAUGCUGGCAAGGCACAGAGUGCUGCCCGCUUCACCAGGGCUUUGGGCCAGGGCCCUGCCUCUUCCACCCUGCCUGGUGUGGGGAGGCUUUGGCCACCCUGCUAGCUGUCUCCACGUGUGUCCUGUGUUCCCCAGGCCCCAGCCCUCCUCUUUCUUAGUGAGGGGAGCCCCAUUCUGGCACCUCCAAUUCUCAUCUCUGUCUUUUGCAGCUAACAGCUCCCCAUGACAGUGUCAGGACAAUCCUGGUGACCCAGCGUCCUGCCCCUCACCUCGGGAAGCUUCUGAGGACUUGUGAGGCAGGAACGGGCCUCAGCUACUGCUCUGAACAGGUGUUUGGGGGAUUCCUGCCAAUCACUGCAUUCUGGGGUCUGGGUGUCACCGGAGUGAAGAGAAGUGAAUAGUUAACAAAAAGUCCAUCUGCAUUUCUAAACAAAUUUUUGGGAAUAUUAAAUCAAAUGGCAGCGGGCAGUGGGAUGUGUAAAUAAAACCCCCGUGGAAGUGCUGCGUGGA